GUGGGUAUAGCUCAGUGGUAGAGUGCAUGCUUAGCAUGUAUGAGGAACUGAGUUCAAUUCACAGUACCUCCA
rnacentral:tRNA from 1 species